GGUUGAUCCUGCCAGUAGUCAUAUGCUUGUUUGAAAGAUUAAGCCAUGCAAGUCUAAGUAUAAAUAAGUUGUAGAAUGAAACUGCGAAAAGCUCAUUAAAACACUUACAAAAAACACGGGAGUUUUAGUAUAUGGAUAUCCAUGGCAAUUCUGGAGUUAAUACAUGUAGAUAAAUUUGAAUAUCAAAUUUUGACCACUGACCAUACUUCAUUCGAGUUAUACUCAAAACGUAACGGAUAAUGUGGAUACAACUAUCGCUUUAGCGAUCUACCGUAUAAGUUUGUGACCUAUCA
rnacentral:rRNA from 1 species